rnacentral:rRNA from 1 species
UGAGACAGUUCGGUCCCUAUCUGCCGUGGGCGCUGGAGAACUGAGGGGGGCUGCUCCUAGUACGAGAGGACCGGAGUGGACGCAUCACUGGUGUUCGGGUUGUCAUGCCAAUGGCACUGCCCGGUAGCUAAAUGCGGAAGAGAUAAGUGCUGAAAGCAUCUAAGCACGAAACUUGCCCCGAGAUGAGUUCUCCCUGACUCCUUGAGAGUCCUGAAGGAACGUUGAAGACGACGACGUUGAUAGGCCGGGUGUGUAAGCGCAGCGAUGCGUUGAGCUAACCGGUACUAAUGAACCGUGAGGCUUAACCUUACAACGCCGAAGGUGUUU